CGCUAGUAAUCGCGGAUCAGAAUGCCGCGGUGAAUACGUUCCCGGGUCUUGUACACACCGCCCGUCACACCAUGGGAGUCGGAAAUGCCCGAAGUCUGUGACCCAACCGCAAGGAGGGAGCAGCCGAAGGCAGGUCGGAUGACUGGGGUGAAGUCGUAACAAGGUACC
rnacentral:rRNA from 1 species